AUGCAGCCUGACUGUAAACAUCAGCGUCACCUCUAUACAGCACAAACACAUUAAAGCAGCAUUACUUAUGGUGAAAAUGCAGCACAAGCACAUUAGAGCAAUAUUAAUUAUAGUAAAAACAAGUGAUGCAAAAGCAAAGAGAAUGUGGAAGCUUCUUAUUGGCUCAACUGUCAAAGAAAAAAAUUCAGUAACCACAUAUACAUCUACAACCAGUUUGAAGCUUCUUAUUGGCUCAACUGUCAAAGAAAAUAUAACACAAUACUGCAUGUCCUGUGGUAGCAUGGAGUACAAAUGACAAUGUAUGCAUGGAGUAAAUGUAAUGUCAUAAUUUCAUGUAAAAUGUUAAUCUAAUGAAAAAUGACAAUGUAUGCAUGGAGUACAAUAUUUUAUAAUGUCAACUGAUGCAUUUCAUAAUUGCAUUAAUAUAUUUGUGUGGAACUUCUACAGUAAUGUAUAAUGUCAUAAUUUCCCAAGUUUCAUUAAUAUACUUAUGUGAAACUUCUACUGUAAAUGUAAUGUCAUACACAAUAUUUUCUAUGAUUCAAGCAGUACAACUCAAAGAAUAUUAAAUUAAUAAUUUAUAUUUCUACAGAUGUCAAAAUAAAAUACUCUGGUAUGGCCAGUUUAUUCUCCAUGUAUGUACCAGUAAAACAACUACUAUCAAAUUAUAAAUUCCUUCUCUUCUCAUGAAUCCCAAAAAGUUCAGAACUCCACUUCAAAAAGAAGAAAAGGUAGGUUUCACAACAGGAAUCAACGAUGGCAUAACCGUACAUGCCGUCUAACAGGAAAACAAAGGAGAAACAUGUGGCCUCACCAAUGCAAAAAAAUAGAUAAGCAUUUAAAGUUAGAAGGUAAUCUGUAACUAGAAAUCACAAGGACAAAGCACUAGAAAAUACAAUUAACAAAUCUGCUACACACAUUAUGAACUAAACAGAAAAAUGAUAGCUUCUAACGGAAUGAGAUGAAAG
rnacentral:lncRNA from 1 species